GAUUAACGCUGGCGGUAUGCCUAACACAUGCAAGUCGAACGGAAUACUCGAAAAGAGAAUCUCACACUAGUGAGAGGUUCUCCAACCGAGUAUUUAGUGGCGGACGGGUGAGUAACACGUUGGAACCUGCCCCGAAGUGGGGAAUAACUGCUCGAAAGAGUAGCUAAUACCCCAUAGUAUCCGGUUUAUCCGGAUUAAAGAUUUAUCGCUUCGGGAGGGGCCUGCGUCUGAUUAGCUUGUUGGUGGGGUAAAAGCUCACCAAGGCGACGAUCAGUAGCUGGUUCGAGAGGAUGACCAGCCACACUGGGACUGAGAUACGGCCCAGACUCCUACGGGAGGCAGCAGUGAGGAAUCUUCCACAAUGGACGAAAGUCUGAUGGAGCAAUACCGCGUGCAGGACGACGCUUUUCGGAGUGUAAACUGCUUUUGUCGUCGAAGAUUAUGACUGUAGACGAAGAAUAAGGACCGGCGUAACUACGUGCCAGCAGCCGCGGUAA
rnacentral:rRNA from 1 species